GCAGCUUUCCAUCAUCCUUCACCAGUGGGAAUAUCUGGUAGCAAGUAUCAAAGCUUCCUUGUCGUUCCAAGUUUCUUCCAUUUAAUGUGCCACAUUUUCUCGGGUAAUGGAAGCGGGUAGAGGUAACUCAGUCAGCAAUCAGAUUGAUGUCGAAGGAACAAUUCAAAUGGCAUAAUUUGAAAGGAUGGAGAAGAGAAACCCACAAACGUUGCAAACAUGAAAGGUAAACAGAAGCUUGCAGCAGCCACACAUCGGAAAGAGAAACAACGAGUCUACACUUCAUCCAGAAGCUAGCCAAUGGAAAUCUGAACUCCAAUACUGCUGGCAGUUUUUUCCCCGAUGUUAAUCAUCUUUGUGAUGCUCGAAAAAUGUUAACCUCAUCCUUAGCAUCAUUUCUGGUCUGUAGUAUGCAGAUGAAUUAAACAACUCCAGUGACCCA